UUGUAAACUGCUUUUGUACGGAACGAAAAGUCUUGGGUUAAUACCCUGGGAUCAUGACGGUACCGUAAGAAUAAGCACCGGCUAACUACGUGCCAGCAGCCGCGGUAAUACGUAGGGUGCAAGCGUUAAUCGGAAUUACUGGGCGUAAAGCGUGCGCAGGCGGUUUUGUAAGACAGUGGUGAAAUCCCCGGGCUCAACCUGGGAACUGCCAUUGUGACUGCAAGGCUGGAGUGCGGCAGAGGGGGAUGGAAUUCCGCGUGUAGCAGUGAAAUGCGUAGAUAUGCGGAGGAACACCGAUGGCGAAGGCAAUCCCCUGGGCCUGCACUGACGCUCAUGCACGAAAGCGUGGGGAGCAAACAGGAUUAGAUACCCUGGUAGUCCACGCCCUAAACGAUGUCAACUGGUUGUUGGGAAUUUAUUUUCUCAGUAACGAAGCUAACGCGUGAAGUUGACCGCCUGGGGAGUACGGCCGCAAGGUUAAAACUCAAAGGAAUUGACGG
rnacentral:rRNA from 1 species